GGAGAUCUUGAAGGUCUGUUCCAACCUCCAAUUCUGUGAGUCUAUGAUUCUAAGUAAACUGUAGGAAACGUGGAGUCACUGGCAGACGGUAUUACGUCCUGUUCUAGAAUCAGGUCCAUAACAUGAGAGCCAUGCAAUAUAUUUCCAUAAAGGAUUACAAUAAUCUGCAGAGGACACCUCCUCUUGGUGGAACACUCAGACCUGGUUGGUAGGAGGCAAAACCUGUCCAACCUGAACGUACAAAAUCCAAAACUGUGACAGAACCCUAAUAAUCCCUGUUAUGCGGAUCUUUAUGUGCCAUCCACAAACGGGUGGUGGUCUUGCAACAGAAGAAUAGGGGAGGAAACACAGCAGAGCACACAAGAAAGAAAGAAGAUAAAUUAUUUCCAUAUUUUAAUGUCACUAGCAUUAAGAUGAACUAUUUCUACCAUUACGCUAACUGUAAAGAAGACUCCUUUGUUGUUCA